rnacentral:ncRNA from 1 species
CCUUAUCAAGAGAGGCGGAGGGGACAGGCCCGAUGAAGCCCGGCAACCUGCGGCGACGAGCCGCAAGGUGCCAAUUCCUGCGGCCCAGUGCCGGCGGAUGAG